rnacentral:rRNA from 1 species
UUUCGGCAAGGGGGUCAUCCCGACUUACCAACCCGAUGCAAACUGCGAAUACCGGAGAAUGUUAUCACGGGAGACACACGGCGGGUGCUAACGUCCGUCGUGAAGAGGGAAACAACCCAGACCGCCAGCUAAGGUCCCAAAGUCAUGGUUAAGUGGGAAACGAUGUGGGAAGGCCCAGACAGCCAGGAUGUUGGCUUAGAAGCAGCCAUCAUUUAAAGAAAGCGUAAUAGCUCACUGGUCGAGUCGGCCUGCGCGGAAGAUGUAACGGGGCUAAACCAUGCACCGAAGCUGCGGCAGCGACACUAUGUGUUGUUGGGUAGGGGAGCGUUCUGUAAGCCUGUGAAGGUGGCCUGUGAGGGUUGCUGGAGGUAUCAGAAGUGCGAAUGCUGACAUAAGUAACGAUAAAGCGGGUGAAAAGCCCGCUCGCCGGAAGACCAAGGGUUCCUGUCCAACGUUAAUCGGGGCAGGGUGAGUCGACCCCUAAGGCGAGGCCGAAAGGCGUAGUCGAUGGGAAACAGGUUAAUAUUCCU